ACGCUCGACACCUACUGGAGGCAGCAGUUGGGAAUAUUGGACAAUGGAGGAAACUCUGAUCCAGUGACGCCGCGUGAAGGAAGAAGGUCUUCGGAUUGUAAACUUAUUUUGUCAGGGAAGAAAAAUGACUGUACCUGAAGAAAAAGCACCGGCUAACUACGUGCCAGAGCGCGUAUACUGAGCGGGCGUGGCGAAGGACG
rnacentral:rRNA from 1 species